UGCCUAUACUUGUCUAUACUCGUUGACUCU
rnacentral:piRNA from 1 species